rnacentral:rRNA from 1 species
AACGUACGCUGGCGGCACGCUUAACACAUGCAAGUCGAACGAAGUAGCAAUACUUAGUGGCAGACGGGUGAGUAACAUGUGGGUAUCUGCCCUUUGGCCUGGAAUAACACGAGGAAACUUGUGCUAAUACCGGAUAAGUCUUUACAGAGAAAGCUUUAUGCACCAUUGGAUGAGCCCGCACUUGAUUAGUUUGUUGGUGGGGUAAUGGCCUACCAAGACUGUGAUCAAUAGCUGAUUUGAGAGGAUGAUCAGCCACAUUGGGACUGAGACACGGCCCAAACUCCUACGGGAGGCAGCAGUGGGGAAUCUUGCACAAUGGAGGAAACUCUGAUGCAGCGAUGCCGCGUGAGUGAAGAAGGCCCUUGGGUUGUAAAGCUCUUUCGUCGGGGAAGAAAAUGACUGUACCCGAAUAAGAAGGUCCGGCUAACUUCGUGCCAGCAGCCGCGGUAAUACGAAGGGACCUAGCGUAGUUCGGAAUUACUGGGCUUAAAGAGUUCGUAGGUGGUUGAAAAAGUUAGUGGUGAAAUCCCAGAGCUUAACUCUGGAACUGCCAUUAAAACUUUUCAGCUAGAGUAUGAUAGAGGAAAGCAGAAUUUCUAGUGUAGAGGUGAAAUUCGUAGAUAUUAGAAAGAAUACCAAUUGCGAAGGCAGCUUUCUGGAUCAUUACUGACACUGAGGAACGAAAGCAUGGGUAGCGAAGAGGAUUAGAUACCCUCGUAGUCCAUGCCGUAAACGAUGUGUGUUAGACGUUGGAAAUUCAUUUUCAGUGUCGCAGCGAAAGCGAUAAACACACCGCCUGGGGAGUACGACCGCAAGGUUAAAACUCAAAUGAAUUGACGGGGACCCGCACAAGUAGUGGAGCAUGUGGUUUAAUUCGAAGAUACGCGCAGAACCUUACCAACACUUGACAUGUUCGUCGCGACUCUAAGAGAUUAGAGUUUUCGGUUCGGCCGGACGAAACACAGGUGCUGCAUGGCUGUCGUCAGCUCGUGUCGUGAGAUGUUGGGUUAAGUCCCGCAACGAGCGCAACCCUCACUUUUAGUUGCCAUCAUUAAGUUGGGCACUCUGAAAGAACUGCCAGUGAUAAGCUGGAGGAAGGUGGGGAUGACGUCAAGUCCUCAUGGCCCUUACGUGUUGGGCUACACACGUGCUACAAUGGUAUCUACAACAGGAAGCAAGACUGCGAGGUCAAGCAAAUCCUUAAAAGAUACCUCAGUUCGGAUUGCACUCUGCAACUCGAGUGCAUGAAGCUGGAAUUACUAGUAAUCGUGGAUCAGCGUGCCACGGUGAAUGCGUUCCCGGGUCU